AUAUUUGUUCACUUUAUUGAUAUCACCAAAAAAAAAUUAGUUCUACUGCAAUGCAUGUGCAUUGUAUAUCACAUGCAAAAAUAUGGUAUAAAUUAAAACAUGCAAUUUUACAGACAUUACACAUUGUUACAGCAUUGUACAGAGAUGAUUAUAAGUAUGAAGACAUGAUGGUUUUAGAAAAAAUUGAGUUAAAUUUGACAUAUUGUUUUUAUUAAAAGACUCCCUUUCACAUCUAAAAUGAAUAACUCCAUGAACUUGUACAUGAAAAAACAAAUUGGUGAUAAAUGAAAUAUUUAAAUAAAAGUUUCAUAUCUAUUAUCCCUUUCAUGCCUUUAAUCAAAUUUUGCACAGUUGAUAACAGUUUGUGUGCACAUGUAUACAAUUGUUCAAUGUCCAUAUUCAUGUACAAAAUGUAGGACUAGUACAAUGUACUAUGUUAAAAUAAAAAGCAAAAAAAAACAAAAAAGAUUAACUGCUUUAUUGUAAAUUGACUUCUAAAUACAUGUACAUAAAAUUUUGCAUGUGUACAGGAAGCAAGCUUCCCCUAGCAUGUAAAGAAUAUUUUAUACUCUCACAGUAACAAAGAUGUACAUUAUUUAUGUCUACAGGCCUUCUAUUCUGGAACAUAUGUUUUUUUAUGUGUAAAUAAAAUUUAAACUCUUUAAGCAAACUCCUUUAAUUUGUAAGCCACACUUUAAAUAUGACAAUUAUAGAAAUAUUGACUAACUUUUAUUUUCAGACUUGUUUAUACAUGUUAUAGGGGGUACUGAAAGUUUAACACAAGCCUCUGUACACAAAAAAGUUCAAUUAAUAUUUGGCCACAUAGCGGUGUUAAAGCCCUAACACACACACACACACACACACACAUGUAAGCAUGAAAGUAUAUAAAUUGUACAAGCUAAGAGAAAUAAUAAAUUAGAACCAAAACCAAAAUUCAACUAUUACAUUGCAGCAUAAUGACCUGAAAGUUUUGUACAUGUAGCUGUUAUAUUUUUUUUAAACAUGUGUAAUACACAGAAACAACAAAUAACUCUUUUCAUAAUUUAUAGUCCAGUUACCUGUUACAUUUUUUCAAAAAUCAUAAACCCUUCAUACAUGUCAUAAAACAAUUAAGAAGAGUACAUGUACUCUACGUACAAAUGUAUCUGACCAGCAGAGCCCACAGUAUUAAGGUCCUUAAUAACUGGUAAAGAUUUGAAGAAGAUACAUAUAUGUACAUACAUGUACAUGUAUCUAUGAUUACCAUGGCAGUUAUUCUAACUACACUUAUUUACUUUUUUCAUGUUUUUCAAGUAAAUUGUUAAUUACAUGUACAUUUAUGUUGUACAUGAUCAGUGGCGGAUCCAGAACUUUUCUUAAGGAGGGCCCUCUCCCGUCAUGCUUCAGUGAUUCUUAAUACAAUCAACCAAAUUUUCCCCACCAUAGUCCCUCCCCUCCAAAGUCCACCUAAGAUCAUGUAAAAAAGUUUUUAAUUAGCUUUAGUAAUGUUAGAAUAAAAUAAGACAAUGUAAGAUCUUUCAUUUUUCUUUCCAUUAUUUGUUUACCACAGCAUGAAAAUCCGAAGACUAAGCCACUUACUGUAUGGGGCCAUGUCCUGUGACCUUUUGGUAUCCAUUCAAAUAUUUGCCUUUUAAAAGUUUUGGUACUUUUAACUCUUGUAAUUAUGUAAUAUAUUGUCAUGUAAAGUUUCAUUGUUUUACAAAGAAUUCAAUUUCUUUAUUAUAAAUCAUAAGCUCAAGUCAAUAAAAUAUUUAUACAAUUUUGGUUCAACUACAUGUACAUGUAUAUAGCAUGUAUAGUGCCAGUGCUAUCAUUCCACUUGGAAUAGUUAUAACCAAACAUGCCAAAAUGUAGUUGAUUGAUUAAAAUAUGCAGACAAUGUAAACAGUAAUCUAAAUAUGAAUAUGACCCCUUGUGGAAGUCUUCAAAUAGUUAAAGCUGCCACAAACAAAUCUAAUGAAGCAAAGUGAAACUGUGAAAGAUUAUUUUUUAAUCAGUUUGAGUUUUUCACAGCUAAAACUUAUAAAAUUUCUUAUAUAUAGGUGUACAAUGUACAUUGUAUAUAUCAUGUAUAAGAUUCCCCUAAAUCAUGUAAAUAAAGUUAAAAACAAUAUUAAACCUGUUUAAGGGACAAAUCUACUUGAUGUAUGAAAAUUUCUAUUACAACAUGUACAACUAAUC
rnacentral:lncRNA from 1 species